AGCUUUAUAUUCAUUAAUGAUAUAAAAUUGCAAAUUUUAAGGAGUAAUUAAUUAUUACUAAGGCUU
rnacentral:tRNA from 1 species